AGCUCCAAUAGCGUAUAUUAAAGUUGUUGCAGUUAAAAAGCUCGUAGUUGGAUUUCUGGCAGGGGGCAACAGCCCGCUUGCAGCGUGUGCUUGCCGUCCCCUACCAUCCUUCUGUUAACGUGCCAGGACAUUCACUUGUCGGGCACGGGCUCAGAUAAUUUACCUUGAGAAAAUUAGAGUGUUUCAGGCAGGCUGACGCCGGGAUACAUUAGCAUGGAAUAAUGGAAUAGGACUUUCGCCUCUUCUGUUGGUCUGAGGGGUGAUCGUAAUGAUUAAUAGGGAUAGUUGGGGGCAUUAGUACUUAACUGUCAGAGGUGAAAUUCUCGGAUUUGUUAAAGACUAACUUAUGCGAAAGCAUUUGCCAAGGAUGUUU
rnacentral:rRNA from 1 species